AGUGAACGCUGGCGGCAGGCCUAACACAUUCAAGUCGAGCGAGCGGAGGAAGGGAGAGUAAUGGCUUGGCAACUGCCUGACGGAGGGGGAUAACUUCUGGAAAACGUAUCCAAAAACACAUACCCUCAGAACUGCCCAUAUGGGAUUAGCUAGUAGGUGGGGUAAUGGCUCACCUAGGCGACGAUCCCUAGAUGGUCUGAGAGGAUGACCAGCCACACUGGAACUGAGACACGGUCCAGACUCCUACGGGAGGCAGCAGUGGGGAAUAUUGCACAAUGGGCGCAAGCCUGAUGCAGCCAUGCCGCGUGUGUGAAGAAGGCCUUCGGGUUGUAAAGCACUUUCAGCGAGGAGGCGUUACUCGCAGAAGAAGCACCGGCUAACUCCGUGCCAGCAGCCGCGGUAAUAC
rnacentral:rRNA from 1 species